CGCAGGCGCCGUCGGCCUCGCUCCAGCCGCCCGCUCCCCAGGGCUCGGCCGGGGCUGGUCUGCGGCCCUCGGGCGGGCGGCGUGGCCCUCGCCUCGGCGGCCUCCUCCUCGCGACGGCGCAGACGGCGCAGGCAGCAGCGCUCCAGCCGCGCCUCGUCGAUGCCCCAGUAGGCCAGCUCGUCCCGGAAGGCCAGGGCGCACGGGCCGCGCAGCAGCCUCAGCUUGCCGGCGCGCAGCAGCGCCACGAUGGCGCGGAAAGCGCACGGGCUGCGGUCGAAGAAGAACUCGUCGCGGCUCACGUCGUAGUCGUCACACACGCGCAGCAGCUCGUCGUGGCCGCGGCAGGCUCGCAGGCGCUCGAGGCGAGCCAGGGGACAGCGGGCCAGCGCAGCCCAGGCCAGACGCACCCUGCAGCCCCCGACGUUGAUUAUGACGUGGCGCGCCCGGGCCCCGCGGCCGC
rnacentral:lncRNA from 1 species